UACGUAGGUGGCAAGCGUUGUCCGGAAUUACUGGGUGUAAAGCGCGUGUAGGCGGCAGGCCAAGUCUGCGGUGAAAGCGCCCGGCUCAACUGGGCGAGGUCCGUGGAAACUGGUCAGCUGGAGGACGGUAGAGGCGAGUGGAAUUCCCGGUGUAGUGGUGAAAUGCGUAGAGAUCGGGAGGAACACCUGUGGCGAAGGCGGCAUCCUGGACCGGUAUUGACGCUGAUGCGCGAAAGCCAGGGGAGCAAACGGG
rnacentral:rRNA from 1 species